GAAAAUUUAGUUGCCAUGGCUCAACUGCUUGAAAUCCGUGGCUCAAUUGCUUAUUCAUCACUGUCAGCGACUGACAGAAAGACCAAAAAGAAAAAACUUAAAUUAAAAUGUAAAAACUGAGAAUUUAAAGUUGAAAUGGUUUGUUCAUUUGUUGGUAGAUUGCUCGUUGGCUGUUUUCUAACCAUUGAUUAAUUUAUGAGGAGAAAAUUUAGGAUGUGGUGGCUGUUGUACGCUUUACAGAUCUGAGAUAAUGGCCAUCACAAGCGUUUCCAGUUCGGAGUCGCCGGAAAGCAUCCAAACUCCUCUCCUGCACGGCGUCGUUCAAGGCUCCGUUGACUACAAAGGCCUCACGAUCUACAGAUCAAACUCCGGCGUUUGGAGAUCAGCGUCUUUCAUAUUAAGAAAAGAGUUUUUUUUUUUUUAAAUAAAUGUAGGUGCCAAAUAUCAGAUAUUAAUUAGUUGAUUUUGGGACAGGUAUGGAACUUGCAGAGAGGUUUGCGUACUUCGGAAUAGCAUCGAAUCUAAUUACGUAUUUGACGGGGCUGCUCCGUCAGUCGACGGCGACUGCGGCGGAGAACGUGAACGCUUGGACCGGAGCGUCUUUUGUAUUUCCUUUAAUCGGUGCUUUUGUUGCUGAUUCCUUUCUUGGAAGAUAUCGUACCAUCGUGGUUGCCUCCAUCUUAUCUGCAUUUUGGGUCUUGGCUGGUUGACUCUAUCGGCUGCUAUUUCUUCUUCCAAUGUUUCUAAUUGCCUAAGCGCCAAUUCUUUGACAUCUUGUUCUCCUAGCCCAUUUCAAGUAGUUCUCUUCUUCUUUUCUCUACAUUUGGUAGCUUUUGGGCAAGGUGGGUACAAAUCUUGUGUUCAGGCUUUUGGAGCAGAUCAAUUUGAUGAAAAAGACCCUCAGGAGCGCAAAGCCAAAAGCUCGUUCUUCAACUGGUGGUAUUUUUCUAUGUGUUCAGGCAUCUUAGUAGCGCGACUAAUCAUAGUCUACGUACAAGACAACCUUAGUUGGACCUUUGGAUUUGGAAUCCCAUGUAUUGUGAUGGUCAUAGCACUAUUCAUCUUCUUACUUGGAAUUAAGACGUAUCGCUAUAGUGCCAAGGUGGAAAAAAAAAAUGCAUUUCAAAGAAUUGGACAGGUUUUUGUUGCAACCAUUAGAAAUUGGCGAUCUUCUUGUUCUGCUAUAGCUUUGGAGGAAGAAGCUUGUGGAUCGCCACCUCACCAUAGUUCUGAGCAAUUCAAGUUCGUUGACAAAGCCCAGUUUGUACCAAAUGACUCGAAGGAACUUGAGAAAGUGUGUAGCCUCAGUGACGUUGAAGAAGCCAAGGCAGUACUUAGACUUUUUCCCAUAUGGGCUUCAUGCUUGUUAUUUGGUGUUGUGGAUGUACAGUUCUCAACUUUAUGUAAGAAGCAAGGAGCAAAGAUGGAUAGAUCAAUUUCACCAGGUUUCGAUAUACCACCAGCUUCACUUCAAUCAGUUACCAGCCUUUUUAUUGUUUUAUUCAUUCCAAUCUAUGACCGCAUCAUCGUUCCCUUAGCAAGGGAUUUAACCGGAGAACCUUCUGGCACUACAAUGCUUCAAAGGAUUGGAACUGGGAUGUUUUUUUUCUGCCCUGAGUAUGGCAAUUGCUGCUGUAGUUGAGAUGAAGAGGCUUGAAGUCGCUCGAGAAUAUGGAUUAGUUGAUAAGCCUAAUGUGACAGUUCCAAUGACCAUUUGGUGGCUGAUUCCUCAAUACGUCAUCGCUAGAGUUGCUGACGCGUUGUCCUUGGUUGGUGUGCAAGAAUUCUUCCCAGAGAAUUAAGAAGCGUCGGUCUUUCUCUCUACAUUAGCACCUACGGUGUAGGAAGCUUUAUUAGCAGUUUUCUCAUUUCUAUCGUUGAGAAAGUCACCGGAGGGGAAGGUCGUGAUAAUUGCUCGUGAUAGUUGGUUUACUAAUAAUCUGAAUCGAGCUAAUCUUGAUUACAUCUAUUGGCUACUAGCUGGAUUAAGCACAGUACAAUUCGUUGUAAAGUAAAUACACCUACGGUGUAAGAAGCUUUAUUAGCAGUUUUCUCAUUUCUAUCGUUGAGAAAGUCACCGGAGGGGAAGGUCGUGAUAAUUGCUCGUGAUAGUUGGUUUACUAAUAAUCUGAAUCGAGCUAAUCUUGAUUACAUCUAUUGGCUACUAGCUGGAUUAAGCACAGUACAAUUCGUUGUAAAGUAAAU
rnacentral:misc_RNA from 1 species